UGGGAGUUCUCAUCGUGGCUCAGCAAUUAAUGAAUCUGACAGGCAUUCAUGAGGACGCAGGUUCAAUCCCUGGCCUUGCUCAGUGGGUUAAGGAUCCGGCGUUGCCAUGAGCUGUGGUGUAGGUCGCAGACAUGGCUCUGAUCCCACAUUGCUGUGACUGUGGUGUAGGCUGACAGCUACAGCUCCAAUUCGACCUCUAGCCUGGGAACCUCCAUGUGCCUCAGGUGUGGCCCUAAAAAGACAAAAAAAAAAAAAUACAGGGUUAACUGUACUUUAUCCAGAAUCCUGUUCAAAACAGCCUUUUUUGCACCAUACCACCUCUUUCUAUCCCACUUGUCCAAAUUCGGCCAUAUUACAAGAUUGAUCCUCUUGAUUUGACUAAUGCAUUAUAGUUUUGUGUUAGACAAAACACUUAAACUGCCCAUCUGUAAAAUAGGCAUGAUACAAUGCCACUAUCACAGGACCAUUGGAACGAUAAAAUUACACACAGCAAAAGAUUCACCCUCCACAAAGUACUAGACACAGACCCAUUAAUGGCACAGGUCCACAAUCCCUUAUCCAAAAUCCCUAUAGCCUGAAUUUUUCAGAUUUUAGGGAGGUAAUAUAAAAAGACCUAUAGGGUAUAGAACCUAUGGUAAAAACACUUAUGUCCACAAUAAAACGUAUCCAUAUUCACACAAAUUUCAGGUCAAGUAUUGCUGCCAAAUUAGUUUGGCAAUAAACUCAAGAAAAAACUUGAUUUUCAGAGCAAUGUGGGUUUCAGAAUUACAAACUUGUAGUAGCCUUCAACUUUUUGGUACCACUCACUUGGUAGUUGAUUCCUGUUUCCAUUACUUUGUUAGUGUAACUGGCAAAGAGGCACAUAAACAGGAAGCCAACAUCAAACCAGCAGAGUGGGCUUUGCUAGGUACAUCAGCUACAACAGACGCCUGUACACUGAGGCUUCUGCAAAGCCAACAAGCCCGUAAAUGAGGCAGCAACUGGGUGACAGGAGCCUGCCACAGUCAAUUGUGGCCCUUCUGAGUGUGAAUCUCCCACUCAGCCCUUUGAUGUUAUAGAAGUUUUCCUUCUAAGGCCUAAAAACCUAAGGCCCAAAAUGGAGAAAUGACUUAUCAAAGUUCAGCAGUCUUAGACUGAGCUUCUUAGACAAGGUCACCUCCCUUUUUUUCCUUCCUGACACUUAACUAGUUUUAAAGAAUAAGUAAUUUGACACUUAUUCUACCCUCAACCAUUAUACCAUACUGCUUGUUCCAGGCCUAACAGGAAAGCAAAUUCAUAUGCUACAAAGCAAUUACCACUGUCCCAACAAUAGGACCUUCCUGUGUCUGUUUCCUCACCUCUAAAGUAAGUAUAAUAAUAGAACUUAAUAGUUUAUAGGAUUAAAAUGUAUCAAUAUGCAAAUGAACUUAAUUACAAAAUAGAAAACAAACUAUGGUUACCAAAGAGGAAAGGAAGGGAGGGAUAAAAAUAGGAGUUUGGGAUUAACAUAUAUACAACACUAUAUAUAGAAUAAAUAACCAACAAGACUUACUGUAUGGCACAGGAAACUAUAUUCAAUAUUUUGUAAUAACCCAUAAGGGAAAAGAAUAUGAAAAAGUGUGUGUGUGUGUAUAUAUAUAUAUACACACACAUUUCAUAUAUAUAUAUAUGAAUCACUUUGCUGUACACCGAACAAAAUUAUAAAUCAACUACACUUCAAUGGUGUAGAAAAGUAAAAUGUAUCAAUACGUAGGUAAGAUGCCUACCUAGCAUGUAGCAAAUGCUCAGUAACUAUUUUUACCGUGGUUGCAGGUGCUCUGUUCCAUUGCUACACUUCAAAUUUCCUUUUUGGAAAACAUGUGGAAACCUAAGAUAAAUAUCUUUAAAAUGUUCCUGUUUGGUCUGCUGAAGACGCUAGAUUCAGGGGGAAAAAAAACUUCACCAUAGUUAUAAAAACAAGAAAUAGAAACAGAUUUCUUCCUGAAAUAACUCGAAUCCUGUUUCUCUACUGUGCUUUCAUAACCCCACUUGUAAGACGCCAUCAUUUCUCACCAGGAGGGUACAUCCUUCGCUAGCUGAUAUAGUUAGCUGAUCAGGCCCACCCUCUUUGAUGCCCACCUAUAAUCUGCACAGCAUCCUCAGUGAUUAUGUUAUAGUGCACAUCCGAUCAACAGCCAUUCCUUGAUUUAGGCACACUGGUAGCCAGUACGUCAUAUCUGUCUGGCAGAUCUGUUUUGUUUGAAUUUGAAUGCCCUUAAGCAGACCUUCACUAUUUAUUAUAUCUGUUGAUUGCAUUCAUUCAGAUUCACACUGUUUACCUGCCUGGCCCCUGGAAGAUUUGAAUUUGUCGGCUACAGUAUGCAUUCCAGAUACUGCAGCUGGCAUGAUCCUUCUAAAAUGAGUAAGAGGCCAUGUUUCUGCCUUCCUGUGCUCAAAAAGUGUAGAUGUUAAUUGUCAACUCUUUGUCUAGAGGGCCUCAAUUCAGGACAUGUGUCCCUGCACGGUCCCCAGGGGUGCCAGAGACACUACAGCAAACAAAACAGACCAAUAUCUCUGCCCUCGUUAAGCUUAAGUUCCAUCAGAGGAGACAAGUGCUAUGGAGAUAAGCAUGGAAAGGGAAGGGAGUUUGGUGGGUACUGUUUCAGGUAGGCUGGCCAAGGAAGGCCCAUAGAGAUGAGAGCAGGUGCUAUAAAGACACCAAGUUUGUAGGGGGUCCAUUCCAGUCAGAAGCAGAUACCUUGGCCUGGAAUGCUGGAGGCCUGUCUCUCCAAUAUCUUUUCAGUUGAAUCCCCAUUAGCCUUUAGGAAUCAGCUUAAAUGCCAUUUCUCCUAAGGAGCUUUUUUUCUACCAUUCCCAGAUAGAAUGGCAUUUUUCCUCCUUUAGACUUACACAUACCUCAGACAGUUUCCUGAUUCUGUCAUUUGCAGAUAGCGCCGUUAAAAAUACUCAUUGAAAAAAAAAAAAUUACUUACCUGAAGCAUAAGCAGACAUGAGGAGGCACUCUGGUGAAGCUCUCUUACUGCAUUCUCCUAACACAGGGAUGUUAUCCUGGAAUGCUCUGGAAAGAAAAGAUUUUAGAAUCCAAGUCCAGAUUUUACUUUAUCGGCUGAGGAAAACUGAACAAAUCCCUCAGCCUUGUUUCACCCACCAUCUGUACAGCAAUAAAGCAUUGUGAUAUGAAAACACAUGAUAAAGGCCCAACUCUGAAAGCAUAGUCUAGGCUCUUAGUGUAUUAUACUGCUUUUCCUUCUUGGAAAGCAAAUUGCCUUCCAUCACAUCCUCGGUGGUAGCUGUUGCCACAAGAGGGCACCAUCAGCACAACUGAAAAGCAUGGCUUCUUUCCCUUCUCAGAUUCAACCAGCCCACCAGCUCAUGCCAGCUUUAAUUCCGUCGUGUGUGAACCUUGAGUGAAGAAUGCCAUUUGUGGCAUUCCCGUCGUGGCACAGUGGUUAACAAAUCCGACUAGGAACCAUGAGGUUGCCGGUUCGAUUGCUGGCCUUGCUCAGUGGGUUGAGGAUCCGGUGUUGCCAUGAGCUGUGGUGUUGGUCGCAGACAUGACUAGGAUCCCGCGUUGCUGUGGCUCUGGUGUGGGCCAGUAGCUACAGCUCCGAUUAGACCCCUAGCCUGGGAACCUCCAUAUGCUGCGGGAGCGGCCCUAGAAAAGGCAAAAAGACAAAAAAAAAAA
rnacentral:lncRNA from 1 species